rnacentral:rRNA from 1 species
CUUUUUGAAAAUAAUUUAAAGUCUGACCUGCCCAAUGAAAAUUUAAAUGGCCGCGGUAUUUUGACCGUGCAAAGGUAGCAUAAUCAUUAGUUUUUUAAUUGAAAGCUGGAAUGAAAGGUUGGAUGAAAAAAUAGCUGUCUCUAUUUAAAUUAUUUAGAAUUUUAUUUUUAAAUUAAAAAGUUUAAAUGAAAUUAAAAGACGAGAAGACCCUAUAGAGUUUUAUUUAUUUUUAAUAUGAGAUUUUUAGUAUUAAUUAAUUUUUUUUAAAAAAUGAAUUUAGUUGGGGUGAUUGAAAAAUUUAAAUAACUUUUAUUUUAAAAAUUAACAUUAAUUUAUGAGUAAAUGAUCCUUUUAUUUAGAUUAAAAGAUUAAAUUACCUUAGGGAUAACAGCGUAAUUUUCUUAAAGAGUUCAAAUCGAAAGGAAAGAUUGCGACCUCGAUGUUGGAUUAAAAUAAAAUUCUGGUGUAGAAGCUAGA